GGGCCCGUAGCUCAGCCAGGAAAGAGCGGUGGCCUCCGGAGCCACAGGACCCGGGUUCAAAUCCCGGCGGGCCCGCCA
rnacentral:tRNA from 1 species